GCUUGUCGAGUAUUUUUUCGUAAGGAGAUUAGGAAGAGGAGCUAAAAUGAAUGGAAUGACUAUUCAUUAGUAAUUCGUAAGCAAUGUAAAUGAAAUAGUUCUCAACGGUUGACAAAAUCAUACCAAUUAGCAGUGGAUACCAAUUCUUGAAUAAAGCACAAGACAGGAUCACCAGCAUAAAUCCUACUGCCAGGACCUUAAUAAUAUAAGUUAGACUCGUUUAAAAUGGAAUUGAUGUCUAGCUCGAGUAGGAGUCAUUGAGCGAUGCAUACCGAAGAAAGACCGAUAAUUCUAAUUGGUGACAAACGUUAACCUUUGCUUUUUCAUAUUAACAAAAAUUACUUACUUCCUGAGGUCGGACAUAUUUAAUUACUAUCGUUCACGAAUAUAUACUGCAAGCUAAAGUUUACUGCUUUUGAGAAGAGAGACUUCGAUGAUUACCAGCUACUUCACCUAAAAAGGGUACGCUCCAUUACGUUAUACAGAUGUGUUCUGUAUGCAUAGAACACAGAGCGGUGCACAAGAUUUGUAAACUUGGCAAAUAAGUUUAAAAAGACAUAUAACGAAAAUGACUUGUUACUAUUUUUUACACCAAUGAUCGAGCUUUCGGCUCAUUAGUAAAGUAUCGCAUACGAACAAACUCUGAAAAACGUACUUUGUAGCUACGUAAGUAAAGGCUAGU